AGGGUUCGAUUCUGGCUCAGGAUGAACGCUGGCGGCGUGCCUAAUACAUGCAAGUCGAGCGAACAGAUAAGGAGCUUGCUCCUUGACGUUAGCGGCGGACGGGUGAGUAACACGUGGGUAACCUACCUAUAAGACUGGGAUAACUUCGGGAAACCGGAGCUAAUACCGGAUAACAUUUGGAACCGCAUGGUUCUAAAGUGAAAGAUGGUUUUUGCUAUCACUUAUAGAUGGACCCGCGCCGUAUUAGCUAGUUGGUAAGGUAACGGCUUACCAAGGCGACGAUACGUAGCCGACCUGAGAGGGUGAUCGGCCACACUGGAACUGAGACACGGUCCAGACUCCUACGGGAGGCAGCAGUAGGGAAUCUUCCGCAAUGGGCGAAAGCCUGACGGAGCAACGCCGCGUGAGUGAUGAAGGGUUUCGGCUCGUAAAACUCUGUUAUUAGGGAAGAACAAAUGUGUAAGUAACUGUGCACGUCUUGACGGUACCUAAUCAGAAAGCCACGGCUAACUACGUGCCAGCCGCCGC
rnacentral:rRNA from 1 species